GGACUUUGAGAUAUACUUCAGGAAUUUCAGAAAAUGUAUGUGGGCCAAGCCCAUUAUUUCUAACACUUGGUUCAUUCAUGUUACAUAUGGUUAUGUCUAGACUUACGAAAGAGAGCCAUACAGACGCACAAUCACUAAACCUGAGAUUACAUAUGACAAAAUCAAAUCAAAUCACAGGUACACUCAAAAUUGGUGCUCAAUAGACAUUCUCACAGGCACAUAAUUGUCCAUUGUUUGACAUGAUGGACUGGCUCAACUCCACUUACAUACGUUGCAACUACAGUUCCAUGUGGCAACAUUAACAGACACACAAUAAGCUUGCUUGGUGUGAUCUCACCAGGAACUUUGGCAUGCAUAUUGGCAAGUCAAUGCGAUGCAUGCAGGGCCUGUAAAAGCAACGUGCAGUUCACACUCUGCAGAAAAGAAUGCACAUUGUUAAAAGAAGUACAAAUUGAGAAGGAUCUAAAGGAAUCCAUGCAAUUCGGCUGACAAUUAUUACUCUACUCUAGUUGUCAUGUGAAAGGAGACAUAUAUAAGGUCAGGGAGAAUGAUUUUGUACCCGCAUGAGAUGAAUUUCCUAGCAGCAAAAGCACCAUAAAGCAAAGAAGAAUAUUUUUGCCCUCCAUCAGAGGCAAACUUCUCGUUUCU
rnacentral:lncRNA from 1 species